GUGUGACCACGGGAUCCGGAACUCCUACAGCUGUUGGUAAACAGAAAAACACGGGGUCAUGCGCUAUCGUAUUUCAACCGUCUCUGGUCUCAUUUACUUGAAAAAAGGAAGGAACCAAAAGUUCAUUUUAUUUCGCCGCCCACCAUAAGCAAAUAUUCAUCAGAGGGUUUUCACGGCGCGUCAUCAGCGCGUCAUCGAUGGCAGUCGCCAUGUUGGAGGUACUCGGCAAGGUAAAUAAACCGCACGCCAAGGUAAAUAAAGCGCACGCCGCAGUAGAUCCCGAAUAUCUUCGUGGAAAAUGGUAAAUUAUUGCCGUGUUUUUGGCUGUACCAAUCGGUCAGACCGCGAAAAACAUUUGGAGUAUUACAGACUGCCAAAAGUUAUAACUAAUCAAGGAGAACAAUGCCAAAAGUUGUCAGAGGAAAGGAGGCGCUUGUGGUUAGCGAAGCUGAACCAGGAUCUACGUGGCAAAAAUCUGGACAACGUCCGAAUUUGUUCGGCCCAUUUCUUGUCAGGUAAAAGGUCUGACCUUUAUCAAAAGGAUGACCCAGAUUGGGUGCCAUCUGUCGGAAUGACAGGUCAGCAAAGGUCUCCUGAAAAAGCUGGGACAUCAUCACGCUACAGCCGUCGUGGGAAUAGAACCCAGCAGAGACUGAGAGAAGCUGCUGCUGAUGCUGCUGGUGCUGGAGUUGCUGCAGAGACUGAUGAUUCUGAGACUGAUGACCCAGCUUUGUUCACCUGUCUGUUGUGCUCUGGUGAACCUUUGCCCAUCCAUUGUUGAUUUUGACUGAAGAAUAUUUUUAUAUGCACUUUGUCAAUAAAAAGACUAUAUAGCCUAAAAUUA